AAGAAGAAGAAUCUGACGGAUAUGUAUACUCUUUUGCUAUAG
rnacentral:sRNA from 1 species